rnacentral:rRNA from 1 species
AGCGAACGCUGGCGGCAGGCCUAACACAUGCAAGUCGAACGAACUCUUCGGAGUUAGUGGCGGACGGGUGAGUAACACGUGGGAACGUGCCUUUUGGUUCGGAAUAACUCAGGGAAACUUGUGCUAAUACCGAAUGUGCCCUUCGGGGGAAAGAUUUAUCGCCAUUAGAGCGGCCCGCGUCUGAUUAGCUAGUUGGUGAGGUAACGGCUCACCAAGGCUACGAUCAGUAGCUGGUCUGAGGGGAGGGCCAGCCACACUGGGACGGGGACACGGCCCGAUUUCCGGCGGAAGGGCGCAGGGGGGAAUCAGCCACACGGGGGGGAUGCCGAACGCAUUCGGGCCGGAAAAAACAUGAGGUUGUUAAGAUUGUAAAAUUCUUUCACCGGGGCCGUUAAGACGGGACCCCGAGAAAAAGGCCCGGCUAACCUCGUG